GCCCCCCGGACACCGCCUUCUGGGGCCGCUGCCAGCCGGAGUCCCGGGGCGGCCGGAAGGGCCCCGGCUCGCCGCGCAGGGUGGCCAGGCCUUCCCCGCCGAGCCCCGGCACGCCGCCCCCUCUGUCCCACACGGAGCCUGCAGCGAUGUUUUAAGAUCUCCGUGGUGAACCGAGACUAAAAAUGAAUCUGUGAAUCCACCACCGAAACAGUAUCAUGAAAGCCUGGAGUGCCUAAGAAAUUUCAUGUUUAUUGUGAAGGCAAUGGGAACUGAAUGAAGCGUUUGGAUUUGGAGCCAGGGAUUGACAUAUUCAGAGCAUUGAUUCAGGAGAUGGGGUUUUGCCAUGUUGGC